rnacentral:rRNA from 1 species
UACGUAGGGGGCAAGCGUUGUCCGGAUUUAUUGGGCGUAAAGAGCGUGUAGGCGGCCAGGCAGGUCCGCUGUGAAAACUCGAGGCUCAACCUCGAGAGGUCGGUGGAAACCGUUUGGCUAGAGUCCGGAAGAGGAGAGUGGAAUUCCCGGUGUAGCGGUGAAAUGCGCAGAUAUCGGGAAGAACACCAGUGGCGAAGGCGGCUCUCUGGGACGGUACUGACGCUGAGACGCGAAAGCGUGGGGAGCGAACAGG